UCUAUAAAUAAAGCUGAGAAGUCCAAUUCUAGAAGUCUGGAGUCAGAGUUGUUAUGGGUCAGUGUGAAUUUACCCAACAGUUCUUAUGAAUACCAGUGUUUUCAUUGACUUGAUCACAGCUGAUCUCUGGGACAUAUAUAAUACACACACAUGUAUUAAUAUUAACAUUUUUAAAAGGUAAGUAAUUUGAAAUUUCCCUCAAGUUUAAAUCAAUCUACAGCCUAAUAAUUAUUCUUAGGGAGAAAAGACAAUAACAAACAUUAAUUAACUGCUCACUAUUUUAGGGGCCAGAUAUUCUUCUAAGUGAUUUCUCUAAAGUACUAUUAUUUUUACAGGAAGGAAAUUGAAUGAUAGUGUUAAGUAACUCACUUAAGAUGACACUGUUAAAUAAGCAAACCCAGGCAAUUUGACUUCAGAU
rnacentral:lncRNA from 1 species